AGAGCCUGAAACGCCCGUUUUAGGCACUUUUCUCCCUAAAGACGGCCACUGGCCUAGGUACUGAGGAGAAGAACGCCCCUAGCUCCACUUGUCCCUAGCUUGAUCGGCAGCCAUAGGCCAUGCGCGCUUCACGCCGGUGUCAACCCACGCCAAAAAGCAACACAGCAAGAUGACCAAAGGAUGUACCACUUCAAGAUGGAAAUGGCUAUGUUCAAAGAUAUUUUAGAGAUGUACAACAACGAAGAUAUUGGGAUUCUCGUUGCAUCGAUAUAUGCGAUCUGCAAUAGCAAUGUCCAAAGCUUAACGGGCACUUUCACGUAGAGAGCCUUCCUUAUUACAGCACUUAUUCGCAAAAUUCUUGCAGCAACAUGUUCACAUCGUACAAGUGCGCAUCUCUCCAUCAGAAAUUUUGGACCGCAAGGUUGUUUACUGCCACUUGAAGAAACACCAAAGCCUCCAACCCAAUAGACAGUAAACAAGAGUAAGGUAGCCAACAUAAGAAGGUGCAAUAUGGAGAGAAUUGAACAUGCUUUUCUAAAGAACAGAAGAAGCCUAAAAGCAGUGAAGAGAAAAUUGGGCACAGGCAAAAACCAUAUGUAUGCACUAAGAGAAAGGCAAGGCAGUUUCACUACCAAUAUGUAUAAGGUUGUCAAAGCAGCUAUGAUUUUCUACAGAGAUCAGCCAGGACAACAAUGGUAGUAAUAACAGUAGUAGUCUAGACGAAUCUCACCAACAAUGGCAGGUGAAGGAACGAAAACUUCUUGUUAGAAGAAUUGGCAUCUGUUCAUCUUAAAACCGCUUCAUGCACAAAAAACACACCCCUAGAGAAAAUUCUGCCAGGAGCAAAGACACAAAAGCAAGAGAAUUAAUGGAAGCUUUUUACAUAAGAAAGCAAGAAAGUUUGUGUGUUAGUGAUACAUAAGUAGUUUUAUAUAAGAUUGAGAAACAGUUUAUUGAGCGUGUGUUAUUGUAUUACCCCUGAUGUUCAAAUAGAUGUUUGUUGUGCAGGCGCGAAUUGAUGGUACAUGUGUGUGUGUGGUUUCUGGGAAUUAAAGCAGCUGUGAGUGGCGCCCCGUCCAGUCAUCUUCUCUUGUGGUGUGCGUCUUCUCUUUUUUUUGUGUGUCUAAAGCAGCUUUAACAUGAAGGAAAGAAAGCCUUAGAGGGAAUGCAGUGGGGCAAAGCAGCUGGUUAUGAUCAGGGGUGUUGCUGUACAGUGAUGCUAUUAGUUUUCUUGUGCCCUUUACCGCCAUCAGCCAUCUGCCACUGGUCAAAAAAUGCAGCCCAGGAAUUUUUCAGCAGUGCCAGAUGGCUAUGGUUAGGAAAAGCAUUAAAAAAAGUAAUAGCAUUGCUCUGCGAUAACACGCCAGGUAACAGCAGAUCUAUUUAAAGACGGGGGCACACUGUUCUUGAAAAACUGGCCAGUUUGUAUAUGCAAUGCCUUUUUGCUGUGAGCGUACUGAAAUCUUUGAAGAAUGUGAACAUUGCCCUAAUUAAUUAUGUAUGACAUUACUAUACAGUUUUAUGUACUUAUAAGCUUUGUUUAUCAAUGUCUUGUAUUAAUGUAUUUUUUUUUUGUUUUCGGUACAGUUAACUUGUGUACCUAUUUGUAAUUUGUAUCCAAUAAUCAUGUGCAGGGGGUCAUGGUAUGGUCUCAUAACCGAGGAACCCUUUUCUGUAUAUCCCUUUUUGUUGUAAUCAUGCUUUGCAAAAUAAAUGUUUGAAUGAAAAGGGGCAUCAAGAAAUUGAAAAAUUAGAAGCCGAUCAGCUUACUCAUAACUGCUAACAAGGCAUUUGCAAAAGUAAUAGCUAAUAGAAUUAGGACCACCUUAGAAUCCAAUCAACCAAAUGAGUAAGCAGGAUUUCAUACAGGCUACUUAACAAUAGACCUUAUUAGCACUGUUGAUGUUAUGGAUAAAUGCAUGGAAUAUAACCAACCCCUAUAUAUAACCUUCACAAAUCAUGAGAAAGCAUUUUAGUCAGUUGAAACCUCACCAGUCGUGCAGGCAUUGCAGAAAUGGUGUGUACACAAAUUGUAUACAAAAAUACUGGCUAAACUCUAGCUUGCUGAGCCGUAGGAGUACAUAUGUAAAUUUUAUUACAUUAUUAUAAAACGGACAGUCAACACUGCCACGCCAACUGUUGUUAGACAACCGUUGAUUAAAACAUUUAUUCACGAUCUACAUGGUGUGGCUGCAGCAUGGUGGUCUGCAGCACAUUUGCUACAGUAAAAUCACCAACUAUAAAUGGUAUGUCUUUCUCUUGUCUAACCCACACAAGAUGUCUUAUAAAACUUCCAGUGUCUAUUUUCCAUGUUCCUGGGAUGAUAUAGACCAGGGGUCUCAAACACGCGGGCUGGACCUUUCGUAGCGGCAUACCCACGAAUGACUGUCUUUGUCCCGCACUUUUUUUUCUUAACAGUCUUUUAGCAAGCUACUGAAAUAUGGUACACAAAUACGGUAAGGCAGUACGGUAGCGCUCCUCCUUUCCUGCUCGUUGUGCUUAAGCCGCUCCCAGUUCAGGUGACAGUUCAGGAAACUGUGCGGCUGACAGGCAACAAUGAUGCGUGACAACCGCACAGUAACUUUUGAGAAAGCUUUUGUGGUGUUGGGUUGCCUUCACCGGCAAAAGCACAACGAGCGGGAAACGAGGAGCGCUACCGUACAGCCUUACCGUAUUUGCGUACUAUAUUUUCGUAACUUGCUAAAAGACUCUAAUAAGCAUGUUUAUGAGCUACAGAGACACGACUGGUUUUAAGCACUUUUUCCUUUGGCACCCCCAUGUGAGGUUGCAGUGCGGUGAAAAAUAACCAUGGAACAAAAACUGUAUAUUUCAGAAACAAGGUCCAGAUUUCAGUCAUUAUGGAGAUCUCUCGAGUCCUGCUGUCAAAUCCCUCAAGAAGUGACCCACAUAUGACAUUUUGUUCAAGCUAAUGUUGAAACUAACUAAAUGGCAGAUACAAGAAUGAAGCAUCAAGUUGGCGAUUGCAAACAUGCAGCACUGCACUUUCCCCUGAUGUUGGACUUUGGCAAGAGGAUGCGCCAGCCAG